AUUGAACGCUGGCGGCAGGCCUAACACAUGCAAGUCGAACGAGUGGCGGACGGGUGAGUAAUGUCUGGGACACUGCCUGAUGGAGGGGGAUACCUACUGGAAACGGUAGCUAAUACCGCAUACCAUCGGAUGUGCCCAGAUGGGAUUAGCUAGUAGGUGGGGUAAAGGCUCACCUCGUCGACGAUCCCUAGCUGGUCUGAGAGGAUGACAAGACACACUGGAACUGAGACACGGUCAAGACGCCUACGGUAUGCAGCAGUGGGGAAUAUUGCACAAUGUGCGCAAGCCUGAUGCAGCCAUGCCGCGUGUAUGAAGAAGGCCUUCGGGUUGUAAAGUACUUUCAGCGGGGAGGCGUUACCCGCAGAAGAAGCACCGGCUAACUCCGUGCCAGCAGCCGCGGUAAUAC
rnacentral:rRNA from 1 species